GCAGAGGUGGUGGAACAGGCAGACACGUACGUUUGAGGGGCGUAUGCUUAUCCAAGCAUGAGGGUUCGAAUCCCUUCCUCUGCACCA
rnacentral:tRNA from 1 species